rnacentral:rRNA from 1 species
AGAGUUUGAUCCUGGCUCAGAAUCAACGCUGGCGGCGUGCCUAACACAUGCAAGUCGAACGAGAAAGGGUAGCAAUACCUGAGUAAAGUGGCGCACGGGUGAGUAACACGUGACUAACCUACCCUGAAGUGGGGAAUAACUGAGGGAAACCUUAGCUAAUACCCUACGGGUCAAAGGAGCAAUUCGCUUCAGGAGGGGGUCGCGGCCGAUUAGUUAGUUGGCGGGGUAAUGGCCCACCAAGACGAUGAUCGGUAUCCGGCCUGAGAGGGCGCACGGACACACUGGAACUGAAACACGGUCCAGACUCCUACGGGAGGCAGCAGUGGGGAAUUUUGCGCAAUGGGGGAAACCCUGACGCAGCAACGCCGCGUGGAGGAUGAAGUCCUUCGGGACGUAAACUCCUUUCGAUCGGGACGAUUAUGACGGUACCGGAAGAAGAAGCCCCGGCUAACUUCGUGCCAGCAGCCGCGGUAAUACGAGGGGGGCGAGCGUUGUUCGGAAUUAUUGGGCGUAAAGGGUGCGUAGGCGGUUUGGUAAGUCUUAUGUGAAAUCUACAGGCUCAACUUGUAGUCUGCAUGAGAAACUGCCGGGCUUGAGUAUGGGAGAGGUGAGUGGAAUUCCUGGUGUAGCGGUGAAAUGCGUAGAUAUCAGGAGGAACACCUGUGGCGAAAGCGGCUCACUGGACCAUAACUGACGCUGAUGCACGAAAGCUAGGGGAGCAAACAGGAUUAGAUACCCUGGUAGUCCUAGCCCUAAACGAUGACUGCUUGGUGUGACGGGUACUCAAUCCCGCCGUGCCGUAGCUAACGCGUUAAGCAGUCCGCCUGGGGAGUACGGUCGCAAGGCUGAAACUCAAAGGAAUUGACGGGGGCCCGCACAAGCGGUGGAGCAUGUGGUUUAAUUCGACGCAACGCGAAGAACCUUACCUGGGCUCGAAAUGUACAGGAAUCCGGUAGAAAUAUCGGCGUCCCGCAAGGGACCUGUAUAUAG